rnacentral:tRNA from 1 species
AACCGCGUAGCUCAGUUGGCAGAGCAUUGGGCUAGUAUUCCAAAGCUCGUAGGUUUGAUUUCCACCGUGGUCA